rnacentral:misc_RNA from 1 species
UCCCCGUUUCACAGGGCAGUCUGAGCAGAGAGCCAAACGGUAAGUUUGGCAACAGCUCACAAGGGUUGCGCUCGUUGCGGGACUUAACCCAACAUCUCACGACACGAGCUGACGACAGCCAUGCAGCACCUGUGCAAAUUACUCCUUGCGGAGCUCGCCGGCUUUCACCGACUUAGAGAUGCAUGUCAAGCCUAGGUAAGGUUCUUCGCGUUGCAUCGAAUUAAGCCACAUACUCCACCGCUUGUGCGGGCCCCCGUCAAUUUCUUUGAGUUUUAAUCUUGCGAUCGUACUUCCCAGGCGGCGCGUUUAAUGCGUUAGCUUCGGCGCAGACAGGGUCGAACCUGCCUACACCAAACGCGCACCGUUUACUGCCAGGACUAC